rnacentral:rRNA from 1 species
UCCAGACUCCUACGGGAGGCAGCAGUGGGGAAUAUUGCACAAUGGGGGAAACCCUGAUGCAGCAACGCCGCGUGAAGGAAGACGGUUUUCGGAUUGUAAACUUCUGUUCUUAGUGAAGAAGAAUGACGGUAGCUAAGGAGCAAGCCACGGCUAACUACGUGCCAGCAGCCGCGGUAAUACGUAGGGGGCAAGCGUUAUCCGGAUUUACUGGGUGUAAAGGGAGCGUAGACGGGACUGCAAGUUGGGUGUCAAAUCUACCGGCUCAACCGGUAGCCGCACUCAAAACUGCAGUUCUUGAGUGAAGUAGAGGCAGGCGGAAUUCCUAGUGUAGCGGUGAAAUGCGUAGAUAUUAGGAGGAACACCAGUGGCGAAGGCGGCUUACUGGACUGUAACUGACGUUGAGGCUCGAAAGCGUGGGGAGCAAACAGGAUUAGAUACCCGGGUAC